rnacentral:rRNA from 1 species
ACCUGGUCUUGACAUCCACAGAAUUCUGCAGAGAUGCGGAAGUGCCUUCGGGAACUGUGAGACAGGUGCUGCAUGGCUGUCGUCAGCUCGUGUUGUGAAAUGUUGGGUUAAGUCCCGCAACGAGCGCAACCCUUAUCCUUUGUUGCCAGCGGUUAGGCCGGGAACUCAAAGGAGACUGCCAGUGAUAAACUGGAGGAAGGUGGGGAUGACGUCAAGUCAUCAUGGCCCUUACGACCAGGGCUACACACGUGCUACAAUGGCGCAUACAAAGAGAAGCGACCUCGCGAGAGCAAGCGGACCUCAUAAAGUGCGUCGUAGUCCGGAUUGGAGUCUGCAACUCGACUCCAUGAAGUCGGAAUCGCUAGUAAUCGUGGAUCAGAAUGCCACGGUGAAUACGUUCCCGGGCCUUGUACACACCGCCCGUCACACCAUGGGAGUGGGUUGCAAAAGAAGUAGGUAGCUUAACCUUCGGGAGGGCGCUUACCACUUUGUGAUUCAUGACUGGGGUGAAGUCGUAACAAGGUAACCGUAGGGGAACCUGCGGUUGGAUCACCUCCUUACCUGAAAGAA